GAUGAACGCUGGCGGCGUGCCUAAUACAUGCAAGUCGAGCGAACAGACGAGGAGCUUGCUCCUCGGACGUUAGCGGCGGACGGGUGAGUAACAGGUGGGUGACCUACCUUUAAGACUGGGAUAACUUCGGGAAACCGGAUCUAAUACCGGAUAAUAUAUUGAACCGCAUGGUUCAAUAGUGAAAGACGGUUUUGCUGGCACUUAUAGAUGGAUCCGCGCCGCAGUAGCUAGUUGGUAAGGUAACGGCGUACCAAGGCAACGAUGCGUAGCCGACCUGAGAGGGUGAGCGGCCACACUGGAACUGAGACACGGCCCAGACUCCUACGGGAGGCAGCAGUAGGGAAUCUUGCGCAAUGGGCGCAAGCUUGACGGAGCAACGCCGCGUGAGUGAUGAAGGUCUUCGGAUCGUAAAAUUCUGUUAUUCGGGAAGGAAAGAUGUGUACGUAAAUAUGCACCUCUUGACGGUACCUAAACAGAAAGCCACGGCUAACUACGUG
rnacentral:rRNA from 1 species